GAGAAUGCGCGCGAUUAAUUAUGAUUGUGAGUACGCGUGCCGCAUGUGAGGGUUCGGGAGAAAUAUUUGUGACAAUACAAUGUGGAGCUAGAGGAACGCCGUGUAUCAGGCAGCAUCAGAGGGAGGCAGCGUGUUGCCUCUAACUACAGCAUCUUGUCUCAAUCACAUGUUUGUGUAUCGCAUUCAUGAACGAACAUUCAAGAAUUUGAUAACUGGAUAAAAAAAGAGACGGAACAGCCAGUCCUAAGCUUCUAAAGUCACUCUGCACCUCCUUGACCACCUUGAACUGUGGUGAAGCUAUUCCCAGAUUAUGGUUCGGAUGACUGAACUGGACACAUUACUCCAGAAGCGGUCUCACCAACAUCCUGUACAAUAUCAACAUGAUGUCUCAAUUCCUGUAAACAAAGGUCUGAGAAAUGAAGAGAAGGAGAAGGAGCGGGAGCACCAGAGGAAGUGACGAGGACCAGAGGGGCAGCCGGGAAGGAAAGCAGUGACCAUAUAUAUCAGCAAGGCGGCUAAACCCGAGACUCUACAACUGUAGUGUCUCCCACCCGCCCUCCUCCUCUAACCUAGUUAAUAAGACAUGAUGUCGUACGAGACUGGGCUGCCUCAGCCAGUCUGGGGUGCCACCAAGUACGGAGCAUAAUACCACUCAUCCCCUCCUUUCCAAGGUGGGUGUCAAUGCAGACAGUCAACAGGCAUUGGUAACAAAGCAUCAGGUACGCACGCUUGGCCGAUUGGAGUGACCCGAAGGCCUGAGGACGCAGCAUGCAAACAAACAUGCGCCUACCAAGUAUCCUUUUCAGAAGCAGGGGCGUCCUCCUGUAAGUGUUGAACGGUGACUAUAUCUGGCAUGCCCGUCUAGUCCGAAGAUAGCAUGCGAUUUACUGCCUGCUUGUUCAUAGAGGGCACAAUA